ACACACACACACACACACACACACACACACACACACACACACACACUGGAAUACUAUUCAGUCAUGAAAAAUAAUGAAAUCUUGUCAUUUGCAGCACCGUGGAUGAAACUGGAGGACACUAUGUUAAGUGAAGUAAGGCUAGAAGAGAAAGUUAAAUACUGCAUGUUCUCACAAAUGAAUUAGUCACCCAAGGAAUGCUGACCCUGUGCUAUAUGAUCACAUUUACUCUUGCUGCUGGCAAGACAUAGUUUUUUAUAACAUAACGUUGUAAUAAGAGUGACCUUCCAACACCUUUGCCAUAUUCUAUUGGUUAGAAGCAAGUCACGGAUUUCAUUCACGCUCAAGGGGGAUGAACUAGAACCUGAAUACUAGGAGGUGGGGGUCGUGGAGGUCACUUUAAAGUCUAUUCAUCCCAUCUGAUGCAUGUUUUAAAAAGACCUCUCACUGUAAUGUGUGGAGGUUAGACUGUAGGGUGGUGGAGAGACCAGGCUUAGUGACAAGAGGCUGUUGUAUUUGGAAAUUAGGAAAUCAUUAGGAACUGCUUUUUCAACAAAUAUUCAUAAAAU
rnacentral:lncRNA from 1 species